UUCUAGUUUAUGCCAAAAGAAUUCUUACCUACUCCAAACAUGGGGGAGUAUUUGUGUAUAUAUCCAUGUGUUCUUUAAGCACAUGUGAUGCCACUCAAGGUUGGGGUGGGAGAUGAUUAGUAUGUCAAUUAAGGAGUAUUUCAGGAGACCAAGGCUGCCCCUGGCACCUCUCAGUGUGACAGAGAGAUAUAGAAGAGUCAUGGGGAGUUUACCUAGUUUGGUCAAAACAUGCCUCCUGGUACUAAUGAACAAGGGCUUAGGAGUCAGGAGGCGGGGUUCAAAUCCUUGCUCAGCUACUAUGUGACCUUGGCCAACUUCCUUCCAUGGCUCUCCAUUUCCUCAUCUAUCAAACAAAGAUUGUACAAACAAGUCCAACAAACCCACCAUUAUGCCCAUCCUGGCCCAUGAAAGCAAGCCCUCUGCUCUAGCCAAAAUUGGAAUCAUCAGCCUGAGACCCUGCUCCCCCUCCUAUGGCCCUAUCCUAUCCUGAUCAGACUGCACUAGAAUUCUCCCUGGUUCUGAGCUCUGCACUUCUUACCCUGUCCCGGAUGACUGCUCUUCCACCCCCUGAUUUCUCCGUCCUCCUGAUUUUCCUGAGGAGAUGGACCAGCUCUUUGGAGCUGGGGUAUGGGAUCCUCUCUGGCAGCGUGCUGCAGGACAAAGGUGGCUUCAACAGAAGUGCAGGAUUUCACCCAGGAUACCACAUUACACCAGGACUUCCAGUAUGAUGCUGAAUGGGAGUGGUAAGAGAAGCCAUCUUGCCUUGUUCCUGAUCUGGAGAAAAACCACCUAGUUUCACGCCAUGAAGUAGGAUGUUAGCUUUUAUGGAGCACCUCCCCCCGCCCAGGAACCACAUCACCUCCUGGAGGGUUUGGACCGUGGACCAGCACAGGCUCAGGUCAAAGAAUGACCUAGAGACACAAGGAGGCCAUGUGGAUGCAAUGUCUGCCGAAGACUCCCUCCUGUCGUGCCAGCUUGUGUUCCAGAAAGAAAGCGGGAGCCCAAGCCAGCAUUUACCCAUGUGGGUCAACUUCCAAUAAGCACAUCAAAGCACCUGAAAAUAUACCCCAGACAGAUCUUUGGGACUGACACAGGAGAACCACCCCAGAAUGUUAUUGGAAACAUUGCCAAUAAAAGUGAUGAACCACUUCUGCAAGUGACCCAAGACUAAAACUUUUUUUUUUCUUCUUUGCCUAGAACGGCAUCCCCUUCAUCUGUCUUAUAUUGUAAUCAGAUACAACCUUGAUAGAAUGAAAGCAGAGGUCACACUGAACAAACUGGCACUUUACGUGCUCAGAAAAAGGUUCCUUUGUAACAGGGAAAUUAUAGCAUUUCUAUAGAGGGAUUUUUCUUAAAAGGACAGGCUGCUUUGUUCAAAUGGUGCUGAUUUCAGCGCUCUGAGGAGAGGGCCCUUUCAGAGUGUCGACCUGCUGAAAUUUGUGGGGUUCCUUUUGUUUGUAGAAAGCUGAAUAUGUUAUGGGAGGGGGAAUGUAUUAAAAUAGAAAUUGUAAGCCGUUUGACUAGGCGAGGUUUUGAUUGUCCAGAAACAUCAGACCAUUUUAUAUUUUGCUUAUACAGCGUCAGAUAUCAUAGGAGCACCGUGUGAAACACGGUUUAACAGAUCUCUGUGGGUCCUGAGUUAUACUUUCUGUCCAUAGCAUGUUGAUUCCCUUGGGAGGAGAGCUGACAUUUUUUAGCAAUGGGAAUCCAGAUCACAGCAUUAGACGUACGUUUAAAAGGACAAACGACAACAAAGCAAAACUCUUGAGUUUGGAUGAUGUUCGGGAAGAAAGGAAAUCUAACUUGGACCUGUGGUACUCUGCGAUCUGCUGGAGCCAGGCCAAACUCCAGGAAAUCACAUUGCAUAGCAGAGUGUGAACACAGGAAAUGCGUUUGAGCUAAAAAACAAGGUUUUGUGUCAAUCGAAAUGCCAGGCAUGUCAUGUCUCAACAUGUAAUGUUAUCAAAAAUUAAGCAAAGUGUUUCAUUUUCCCGGUGUCAAUUUUAACACUUAACAAUAUUUUUGGCAUGGCAAUUACUGUUUUCAUUCCAUUAGGCCUUCUGUGAGUGGGAAUGUUUUGUCUGCAAUCCUAAUAAUCGUACUUUUUAUGAGCAGAUGUAUUGCUUCAUUAAACCUGAUUGUUUAUAACUAAUAAUAAAACUUUUA